AGUGAACGCUGGCGGUAGGCCUAACACAUGCAAGUCGAACGGCAGCACAGUAAGAGCUUGCUCUUACGGGUGGCGAGUGGCGGACGGGUGAGGAAUACAUCGGAAUCUACUUUUUCGUGGGGGAUAACGUAGGGAAACUUACGCUAAUACCGCAUACGACCUACGGGUGAAAGCAGGGGAUCUUCGGACCUUGCGCGAUUGAAUGAGCCGAUGUCGGAUUAGCUAGUUGGCGGGGUAAAGGCCCACCAAGGCGACGAUCCGCAGCUGGUCUGAGAGGAUGAUCAGCCACACUGGAACUGAGACACGGUCCAGGCUCCUACGGGAGGCAGCAGUGGGGAAUAUUGGACAAUGGGCGCAAGCCUGAUCCAGCCAUACCGCGUGGGUGAAGAAGGCCUUCGGGUUGUAAAGCCCUUUUGUUGGGAAAGAAAAGCAGCAGGUUAAUACCCCGCUGUUCUGACGGUACCCAAAGAAUAAGCACCGGCUAACUUCGUG
rnacentral:rRNA from 1 species